AUUGAACGCUGGCGGCAGGCCUAACACAUGCAAGUCGAGCGAGCGGCGGACGGGUGAGUAAUGUAUGGGGACUGCCCGAUAGCGGGGGAUAACUACUGGAAACGGUGGCUAAUACCGCAUACUAUCGGAUAACCCAUAUGGGAUUAGCUAGUAGGUGGGGUAAAGGCUCACCUAGGCGACGAUCUCUAGCUGGUCUGAGAGGGUGAUCGGCAACAUGGGAACUGAGACAGGGCCCAGACUCCGACGGAGGCAGCAGUGGGGAAUAUUGCACAAUGGGCGAAAGCCUGAUGCAGCCAUGCCGCGUGUGUGAAGAAGGCCUUAGGGUUGUAAAGUCCUUUCAGCGGGGAGGCGUUACCCAAAGAGAAAGCACCGGCUAACUCCGUGCCAGCAGCCGCGGUAAUAC
rnacentral:rRNA from 1 species